rnacentral:sRNA from 1 species
UCUGUCAUGACCUGCCUGGUGAUCAUUACCGUGAUUUCCUGUCUGCUGAAUUCCUGUGCUGCAGUUUCCUUCUCUGGGACAUGAGGCUUUAGACUGGAAUCUAGCUGCCAGGCCUCCCUCCGUAUCCAGAGCACCUCACCAGCCCACUUAGCCCUGCCCAGGAGGAGCUGAAAGAAGGGCAGGCCCCCAAGCAGCAGCAGGACUCAGAGGCAAGAGUGGCCCCAGCCGGGCCAGAAGCAGGACUGGCAUUGCGGACUGACCUCCAGGGAGAGGCCCAGAUCCGAUCUGCAGAGAUCUCCCUUCCGGCUAUCGUGUCUGCUGUUCAGGUGGUGGAGAAGAAGAUGGAACCCCAGGCUGCCUGGCUACAGAGCCUGGAGGGAUGCACGUGGACAGCCAAGAAGAAGCUGGCUGACUGUGAGAAGGUGGCUGUGGAGUUCGGGAACCAGCUGGAGGCCAGGCCACCACCAAGCCAGAUCUGGCGCCAGUGGAGAAAGGAGACAGGGAGGCAACUGCAGCCUGCCCAGUGUGGAGAGGGGCCAGAGCCCGGGCACUGGGCCCUGGUUAAUUGUGGAGCCAACCUGGUGUGUGGCAGCCAGGUCGGGCUGGUGUCUUCAGAGUGGCUGUGUCAGAAGUGCCUCGUGUAUGACAGAAACGCAGGCCAGCUGGAACAUCCCCAGGCGUUCUGUCCUGGAUCAAGCAAGAGGAAGGGGCAAGUGGGAGGAGCCAGCAGGGCCCACAGGAGACCACUGUGGCACACCUGUGC